rnacentral:rRNA from 1 species
UCGAGAAUUUUUCUCAAUGGGCGAAAGCCUGAAGGAGCGACGCCGCGUGGGGGAUGAAGGGUUUCGAUCCGUAAACCCCUGUCAUUUGCGAACAAUGGUCAUCAUUUAAAAGAUGAUGGCUUGAUAGUAGCGGAAGAGGAAGGGACGGCUAACUCUGUGCCAGUAGCCGCGGUAAUACAGAGGUCCCGAGCGUUGUUCGGAUUCACUGGGCGUAAAGGGUGCGUAGGUGGCUUUGAAAGUUUGAUGUGAAAUCUCCGGGCUUAACCCGGAAAAUGCAUUGAAUACUACAGGGCUGGAGGUUUGGAAGGGGGACUGGAAUUCUCGGUGUAGCAGUGAAAUGCGUAGAUAUCGAGAGGAACACCAGUGGCGAAGGCGAGUCCCUGGACAACACCUGACACUGAGGCACGAAAGCCGGGGGAGCAAACAG